AUAAAGAUUUAAUAAUUUUAGUAAUAGUAUAUAAGUAUUGUAAAAGAAAAUUUUAAAAAAUUAAAAAGUAAAUUUUAUUUAUUGUACCUUGUGUAUCAGGGUUUAUUAAUAAAAAAAUAUAUAUGUUAUUUUUCUCGAAUUUAAAAGGGUUAAUAUAUUAUAUAAUAUAUAAUAGCAAAUUUAUUUAUAAUAAUAUAUUAGUAAUGAAAUGUUAAACGUUUUUAAAUAUAUCUAGUUUUUUUAGAAAUAAAUUUAAUUUAAAAAAUUUAAAUAUUUAGUUUAAUUAUUAAAUUAAAUCUUUUAAAUUUUAAAUAUUUUUAGGGAUAAGCUUAGGAAUAAUAAAUUAUAAUUAAUUAUUACUUUAAUAAAUUUAUAGGGUUAGAAAUAUUCAUUAUUUAUAAAAAUGUUAUAAUUUAUUUAUUAUAAAAAAGUAUUUUAUUAAAUUUAAUUAUUUAUAAAAAAUAUAUUUUUAAUUAUUAAAAUUAUGUUAUUAUGAUAAAAUUAGUAUAUUUAGUUAUAAAAAUAAUUUAAUAAUAAUGAAAGGUUAUUAUAAGGAAUUCGGCAACUUUAAUAUUCACCUGUUUAACAAAAACAUGUCUUUUUGAUAAUAAUAAAAAGUCUAAUCUGCCCAUUGAAUUUUUUAAAAGGCCGCGGUAUUUUGACUGUGCAAAGGUAGCAUAAUCAAUAGUUUUUUAAUUAGAAGCUGGAAUGAAUGAUUGAAUGAAAUAUUAACUGUCUUAUUUUAAUUGUUAUAGAAUUUAAUUUUUAAGUUAAAAAGCUUAAAUUUAAUUAAAGGACGAGAAGACCCUUUAAAGCUUUAUAUUUGAAUUUAUAUAUUUAAAAAGAAUAAUGAUUUUAUAUAAAUAAAUAUAUUUUAUUGGGGUGAUAGGAAAAUUUAUAAAACUUUUUUUUUAUAAGAACAUUAAUUAUUGAAUAAUUGAUCCAUAAAUUAUGAUUAAAAGAUUAAGUUACUUAAGGGAUAACAGCGUAAUAUUUUUUGAGAGAACAUAUUGAUAAAAAAGAUUGCGACCUCGAUGUUGGAUUAAGAUAAUUUUUAGGUGUAGAAGUUUAAAAAUUUGGUCUGUUCGACCAUAUAUUCUUACAUGAUCUGAGUUCAGACCGGUGUGAGCCAGGUUGGUUUCUAUCCUUAAUUAUUAUUAAGUUAAUUAGUACGAAAGGACCAUUAAUUUAUAAAAUUUAUAUAAAAUUUUGAAUAAAAUUAAU
rnacentral:rRNA from 1 species